rnacentral:sRNA from 1 species
ACGGCCCUGCAGGAGGAGGAGGAGCUGCAGCUGGCCCUGGCGCUGUCACAGUCAGAGGCGGAGGAGAAGGAGAGGCUGAGACAGAAGUCCACGUACACUUCGUACCCCAAGGCGGAGCCCACGCCCUCGGCCUCCUCAGCGCCCCCCGCCAGCAGCCUAUACUCUUCACCUGUGAACUCGUCGGCGCCUCUGGCUGAGGACAUCGACCCUGAGGUAAGGCCCGGCAUGGGGUGCAUCCUCUCACGGUUUCUGGCCUUGGGAGUGACCCCCUCAUUGCCUGCAGCUCGCACGGUAUCUCAACCGGAACUACUGGGAGAAGAAGCAGGAGGAGGCUCGCAAGAGCCCCACACCAUCUGCGCCCGUGCCCCUGACGGAGCCGGCUGCACAGCCUGGGGAGGGGCACGCAGCCCCCACCAAUGUGGUGGAGAACCCCCUCCCGGAGACAGACUCUCAGCCCAUUCCUCCCUCUGGUGGCCCCUUUAGUGAGCCACAGUUCCACAAUGGCGAGUCUGAGGAGAGCCACGAGCAGUUCCUGAAGGCGCUGCAGAACGCCGUCACCACCUUCGUGAACCGCAUGAAGAGUAACCACAUGCGGGGCCGCAGCAUCACCAAUGACUCGGCCGUGCUCUCAC